rnacentral:rRNA from 1 species
AGAGCGAACGCUGGCGGCAGGCUUAACACAUGCAAGUCGAGCGCCCCGCAAGGGGAGCGGCAGACGGGAGAGUAACACGUGGGAACGUACCUUUCGGUUCGGAACAACCCAGGGAAACUUGGGCUAAUACCGGAUACGCCCGCAAGGGGAAAGAUUUAUCGCCGGAAGAUCGGCCCGCGUCUGAUUAGCUAGUUGGUGAGGUAACGGCUCACCAAGGCGACGAUCAGUAGCUGGUCUGAGAGGAUGAUCAGCCUCACUGGGACUGAGACACGGCCCAGACUCCUACGGGAGGCAGCAGUGGGGAAUAUUGGACAAUGGGCGCAAGCCUGAUCCAGUCAUGCCGCGUGGGUGAUGAAGGCCCUAGGGUUGUAAAGCCCUUUCGGCGGGGAAGAUAAUGACGGUACCGCAGAAGAAGCCCGGCUAACUCGUGCCAGCAGCCGC